AGUGAACGCUGGCGGUAGGCCUAACACAUGCAAGUCGAACGGCAGCACAAGAGAGCUUGCUCUCUGGGUGGCGAGUGGCGGACGGGUGAGGAAUACAUCGGAAUCUACCUUUUCGUGGGGGAUAACGUAGGGAAACUUACGCUAAUACCGCAUACGACCUACGGGUGAAAGUGGGGGACCGCAAGGCCUCACGCGAUUAG
rnacentral:rRNA from 1 species